UUUAAAGUUAUUUAAGAUCAUGAGAAGUAUCCAAGACUCAGUAAGCUCUUGUCUGAUCUAAUGGAUGGGAGUCGUAUCUUGAUAUUCUUCCAAACAAAAAAGGACUGCGAUAAGAUCACCCGGCAGCUUAGAAUGGAUGGGUGGCCAGCAUUAUCUAUACACGG